UAAGUUUGGUGUCGAUACGAUAGUUGGCCAAGUUCAAAAAGAAUUUUUGACCUCUCCUAUCCUUUCCCCUCCAGUUACCUCGGUUCAUGCUGUCGAGUCUUCUAGUAAAUCAUCCAAAAGGUCUGAUAAAUCAAAAGAUAUAUUGUAGUGCCCCCAAAUCCGGGUAUCUUCCAACCCGACAGAUGGUGCUAUACUGUACAACAUUCAUACAUUCAUU
rnacentral:lncRNA from 1 species